rnacentral:rRNA from 1 species
AAAUUGAAGAGUUUGAUCAUGGCUCAGAUUGAACGCUGGCGGCAGGCCUAACACAUGCAAGUCGAACGGUAACAGGAAGCAGCUUGCUGCUUUGCUGACGAGUGGCGGACGGGUGAGUAAUGUCUGGGAAACUGCCCGAUGGAGGGGGAUAACUACUGGAAACGGUAGCUAAUACCGCAUAACGUCGCAAGACCAAAGAGGGGGACCUUAGGGCCUCUUGCCAUCGGAUGUGCCCAGAUGGGAUUAGC